AGAGUUUGAUCAUGGCUCAGGAUGAACGCUAGCGGCAGGCCUAAUACAUGCAAGUCGAACGAUACUUUCCAGCUUGCUGGAGAGGAAAGUGGCGCACGGGUGCGUAACGCGUAUGCAACCUACCUUCAUCAGGGGGAUAGCCCGGAGAAAUCCGGAUUAAUACCGCAUAAAAUCACAGGAUGGCAUUAUCCAAUGAUCAAACAUUUAUGGGAUGGAGAUGGGCAUGCGUGUCAUUAGCUAGUUGGCGGGGUAACGGCCCACCAAGGCGACGAUGACUAGGGGAUCUGAGAGGAUGGCCCCCCACACUGGUACUGAGACACGGACCAGACUCCUACGGGAGGCAGCAGUAAGGAAUAUUGGUCAAUGGAGGCAACCCUGAACCAGCCAUGCCGCGUGCAGGAAGACUGCCCUAUGGGUUGUAAACUGCUUUUAUCCGGGAAUAAACCUAAAUACGUGUAUUUAGCUGAAUGUACCGGAAGAAUAAGGAUCGGCUAACUCCGUGCCAGCAGCCGCGGUAAUACGGAGGAUCCAAGCGUUAUCCGGAUUUAUUGGGUUUAAAGGGUGCGUAGGCGGCCUGUUAAGUCAGGGGUGAAAGACGGUAGCUCAACUAUCGCAGUGCCCUUGAUACUGAUGGGCUUGAAUGGACUAGAGGUAGGCGGAAUGAGACAAGUAGCGGUGAAAUGCAUAGAUAUGUCUCAGAACACCGAUUGCGAAGGCAGCUUACUAUGGUCUUAUUGACGCUGAGGCACGAAAGCGUGGGGAUCAAACAGGAUUAGAUACCCUGGUAGUCCACGCCCUAAACGAUGAACACUCGCUGUUGGCGAUACACAGUCAGCGGCUAAGCGAAAGCGUUAAGUGUUCCACCUGGGGAGUACGCCCGCAAGGGUGAAACUCAAAGGAAUUGACGGGGGCCCGCACAAGCGGAGGAGCAUGUGGUUUAAUUCGAUGAUACGCGAGGAACCUUACCCGGGCUUGAAAGUUAGUGAAUGAUUUAGAGAUAGAUCAGUCCGCAAGGACACGAAACUAGGUGCUGCAUGGCUGUCGUCAGCUCGUGCCGUGAGGUGUUGGGUUAAGUCCCGCAACGAGCGCAACCCCUAUGUUUAGUUGCCAGCAUGUAAUGGUGGGGACUCUAAACAGACUGCCUGUGCAAACAGAGAGGAAGGAGGGGACGACGUCAAGUCAUCAUGGCCCUUACGUCCGGGGCUACACACGUGCUACAAUGGACGGUACAGAGGGCAGCUACAUAGCAAUAUGAUGCGAAUCUCACAAAGCCGUUCACAGUUCGGAUUGGGGUCUGCAACUCGACCCCAUGAAGUUGGAUUCGCUAGUAAUCGCGUAUCAGCAAUGACGCGGUGAAUACGUUCCCGGGCCUUGUACACACCGCCCGUCCAGCCAUGGAAGCUGGGGGUACCUAAAGUAUGUAACCGCAAGGAGCGUCCUAGGGUAAAACCGGUAACUGGGGCUAAGUCGUAACAAGGUAACCGUA
rnacentral:rRNA from 1 species